rnacentral:rRNA from 1 species
UUAAGGUUAAUAAGCUUAGCUAUUGACGUUAGCGACAGCAGAAGCACCGGCUAACUCCGUGUCAGCAGCCGCGGUAAUACUGGGGGUGCGAGCGUUAAUCGGAAUUACUGGGCGUAAAGGGCACGCAGGCGGUUAAUUAAGUUGGAUGUGAAAUCCCCGGGCUUAACCUGGGAAUUGCAUUCAAGACUGGUUAGCUAGAGUCUUGUAGAGGGGGGUAGAAUUCCAUGUGUAGCGGUGAAAUGCGUAGAGAUGUGGAGGAAUACCGGUGGCGAAGGCUGCCCCCUGGACAAAGACUGACGCUCAUGUGCGAAAGCUUGGGGAGCAAACAGGAUUAGAUACCCUGGUAGUCCACGCUGUAAACGAUGUCGAUUUGGAGGUUGUGGUCAAGAACUGUGGCCUCCGGAGCUAACGCGUUAAAUCGACCGCCUGGGGAGUACGGCCGCAAGGUUAAAACUCAAAUGAAUUGACGGGGGCACGCACAAGCGGUGGAGCAUGUGGUUUAAUUCGAUGCAACGCGAAGAACCUUACCUACUCUUGACAUCCAGAGAAGCUUUUAGAGAUAGAGGCGUGCCUUCGGGAACUUUGAGACAGGUGCUGCAUGGCUGUCGUCAGCUCGUGUUGUGAAAUGUUGGGUUAAGUCCCGCAACGAGCGCAACCCUUAUCCUUUGUUGCCAGCGAUACGGUCGGGAACUCAAAGGAGACUG